AUCGCUUCUCGGCCUAUUUGGCUAAGAUCAAUGUAGUAUCUGUUCUUAUCAGUUUAAUAUCUCUGAUACGUCCCCCAGCGGGGGACUACAUAUUAAGCGGCUUUUUAGAACAGGGAGUCGGCAAAGGAGCUUGCUCCAUCCGCUCCACGCAUCGACCCCAGUAUUGCAGUGCCUCUGGGAGCGGUGCACUUUCU
ensembl:snRNA U2 U2 spliceosomal RNA